rfam:Myotis davidii contig63922, whole genome shotgun sequence.
GGCGGUUCUCAGGUGACACACCCCAGAAUUGGGCUCCCUCCUCUCUGGUCCUGGGGUGCAUCACCCAAGAACAGCA